rnacentral:ncRNA from 2 species
AGUCGUUAUCACGAAUCUCGCAAUGAGAUAGCAACCUGCAGCAACAAGCAAGGUGCUAAAACGAUAAGCCAAAUCCUUUGGAAAAAAUGUUGUUUUC